CCCAAGUUAGCUCAGUUUGUAGAGCGCUCCGCUGGAAAUGGAGAGGUCCCGGGUUCGAUACACGGGCUAGGCA
rnacentral:tRNA from 2 species